AAAAUGGAUGUGUCAAUCAACCUGUCCAUCAACGGAAAGACCCUUUAGCACAUCUUAUACUUUUGGAAAAGAGUCAUUCUUGGGUUCACCCCCUAGGGUGAAUCUAGAGGUUCACCAACCAAUAGAAUUUCAUUAUUUCAAAUUCGAUAUCUUUUAGAAAAGGAAACAAAAUAUUGUCAAAAUAUAUUAUGUUUUUUAAAUAAAAAGGUUAAAAAAUUUAAAAAAAUAGUAGUUAGAGAAAGCGAAUUUAAAAAAAAAAUUUAUCGUCGUCAGCAAAACACUAAACCCUAAAUCCUAAUCCCUAAACCCUAAAUCAUAAACCCUAUAAACCCUUGGGCAAACUAUAAGCCCUUGAAUAAUUCAUACUCUAAAUCAAAAACACUAAAUCCUAAAACUCUAAACCCUAAAC
rnacentral:lncRNA from 1 species